rnacentral:rRNA from 1 species
GUGUCAGCAGCCGCGGUAAUACGGAGGGUGCAAGCGUUAUCCGGAUUUACUGGGUUUAAAGGGUGUGUAGGCGGCUUUUUAAGUCAGUGGUGAAAUCCCGGGGCUCAACCCCGGAACUGCCGUUGAUACUAUUGAGCUUGAAUUAUGUUGAGGUUGGCGGAAUAUAACAUGUAGCGGUGAAAUGCAUAGAUAUGUUAUAGAACACCGAUUGCGAAGGCAGCUGACUGAGCAUAUAUUGACGCUGAUGCACGAAAGCGUGGGGAUCAAACAGGAUUAGAUACCCUGGUAGUCCACGCCCUAAACGAUGAUUACUCGACAUACGCGAUAUACGGUGUGUGUCCAAGCGAAAGCGCUAAGUAAUCCACCUGGGAAGUACGUCCGCAAGGAUGAA